rnacentral:rRNA from 1 species
GGGGAAUUUUCCGCAAUGGGCGAAAGCCUGACGGAGCAAUACCGCGUGAGGGAGGAAGGCUCUUGGGUCGUAAACCUCUUUUAUCAGGGAAGAAACAAAUGACGGUACCUGAUGAAUCAGCAUCGGCUAACUCCGUGCCAGCAGCCGCGGUAAUACGGAGGAUGCAAGCGUUAUCCGGAAUUAUUGGGCGUAAAGCGUCCGCAGGUGGUUUUGAAAGUUUGCUGUCAAAGCGCGGAGCUUAACUUCGUACCGGCAGUGAAAACUCCAAGACUAGAGUUUGGUAGGGGUCACGGGAAUUCCCAGUGUAGCGGUGAAAUGCGUAGAGAUUGGGAAGAACACCAGCGGCGAAAGCGCGUGACUGGGCCUGAACUGACACUCAUGGACGAAAGCUAGGGGAGCGAAAGGGAUUAGAUACCCCUG